ACAAGUACCGUGAGGGAAAGUUGAAAAGCACUUUGAAAAGAGAGUGCAAGAGAACGUGAAAUCGAUGCAAUGGAAGCGGAUGAAUUCGCCGUAUCUAAUACGUCUUCAGUUGUUGGUGUUUAGGAUCGCAGUCUGGCCAUUCCGCAAGGUUGUCCGGAUUGUGUUGUCUUGGGCAUUCACGAUGCAUUGGCGUGCAGAGUGCAAUGGGUCGUUGAGGUUCGCGGAACAAAGUGUUGUUAAGAGGACUCGCCUCGGUGAGAACCCUUGAUGAUAUGGAGAGCUGUUGGACUUCUUCGUUUUGAAUUCAUGGCCUACGACUUUGCUUGCAGUAUCUAUUGGGCUUGAGUUUAACGCAUGCGUUCAACUCUUGACUGGUGGAAUGUUGUUAGUAAUAGUCACUUGAAUUUUCUCGUUGUAUUGGCGAUCACUCAUCCGACCCGUCUUGAAACACGGACCAAGGAGUUUAUAUUACACGCAAUCUAUUGAGUGUUAAAACUCAAAAGAGCAAUUAAAGUGAAUAACUGUUUACAGCAACGUGAUUGCCGAUUCAUUCGUGGGUUGGUACGCAACGUUGCCCCAUUCUUCGAACUUGUUCUGGGGUGGAGGUUGAGCGUGUGAAAUGAGACCCGAAAGAUGGUGAACUAUGCCUGAACAGGAUGAAGCCAGAGGAAACUCUGGUGGAAGUCCGAAGCGGUUCUGACGUGCAAAUCGAUCGUCUGAUUUUGGUAUAGGGGCGAAAGACUAAUCGAACCAUCUAGUAGCUGGUUCCUUCCGA
rnacentral:rRNA from 1 species